rnacentral:tRNA from 1 species
GUAAAAUUAGUUUAUAAAAAAUACUGAAUUGUGGAUUCAGAGAAAAAUAAUUCGAUUUAUUUUACU